rnacentral:siRNA from 1 species
GCCAUUGGAUGAUGCGGCGGAUG